UAGUCCUGCAAACCCUAUGAAUUGUACUGAUAAAAUUGUGAACCCUGUUUUUUAGAAUUUUAAUCCAAUUUUUCAAGAAUUUUGACUAAUUAAAUUCCCCAUUACUAAUUUAUACGCAAUAUAAAUAUGAAAAAUCAAAAGGGUUGGGUUUAGGAUUAAGUUUAAAAAUGAGUUUGGGUGGGGAUGAAGUGGUUAAGGUUAGGGCUAACAUACAGGGCUGGGGUUAGGGUUAGGACAAGACAAAGGACUUUGCUGGGGUUAGACCAGGGGUGGGCAAUCUCAGUCCACGAGGGCCGGUGUCCCUGCUGGUUUUAGAUGUGUCCUCGAACCAACACAGCUGAUUUAAAUGGCUAAAUUAGCUCCUCAACAUGUCCUGAAGUUCUCCAGAGGCCUGGUAACGAACUAAUCAUGUGAUUCAGGUGUGUUGACCCAAGGUGAGAUCUAAAGGCCCCUAUGAUGUCAUCCAGGAACUGAAGGUAAAAAAGAGGUUUGUGUCGGCAUUUCUUCAAAGCACCUGCCUCCCAUAUUUAAAGAUCAACGCACUCAAACUACACUCUGAUUCUUUGUGUUUUUGAUGAUGUUCAGGUUGUCACUGGUUCAUUAGUAUUUUUUAGUUUUUUAGUAGAUUGGCAUAGGAGGGGGCAUAUCUGUUCCCUCCACCUGCAGGUACCGAUUCCCAUUAAAUUGCAUCUCAAGCAAAGCUCUAAAAGCUGUAAUAUCUCCUCAUCUGGUCUCUGGGCAUUUGGGUUUCAACUGAAGACAUUUUGUACUGUGUUCAAACCUAAGUCUGUACUAAUGUUCGUGUACAGGCUCUCGAUGUCGAUCGUAAACAACAGAGCAUUGCUGGGUAGCACUAUUUGUCUGACAACCUCCAAAAAGUGAUAAGUGUCUUUCAGGUAGCUCGGAUGUUUGGUGGAGAGGGGGCCCAAGAAGUGGUCUAUAUACAGAGAGACAUUCUCCCUAAUUACUUCCUCCCAUCCCCCCGUUUACUACUGGAAGAAAUCGAUGAAAAAUAUGAAUGUCUGACUGUAUGAGUUCCCUCACCUCACCACUAACCUGCUCCCAUGUUGGCUCCCAGUGAGAUGGUAAGAACCUCAGAACCGGGUCAAUGGACUCAGAUAUCCGGGUCACGGCACCAAAACUGUCCCGAUUCGAAAUACUGAGAUCCAAAACAAAAUACCAAAGGCCCAGAAGGAUGCAAUCAAACGGAAGAGUUUAUUGAAUACACAUGCGGGGAGGUACGAACUGCCAAACAUCAGUUGUAGAACUCCGCCCAAAAAUACACUUCAGAUUGCUUUUAUAACAUCAGGGUUGGUUAACGCCCCUUCUCGCGUUUUACAAGAACGUAAUUUGCAUAUUUUACAGACAAUGAGCAAUUUUAAGAGAUAAAUGCAAACACUGACGUUCCCCUUUCUGGCAUCUUCUCCAAAUAUGGCGAUGAUCUCAGGCCCUGAAGAUCUCCAGGGACUUGUCCUCCUCUUUGGCCCAUCCUCUGUCACCUGUUACUAGGCAAACUCAAAUGCAACAAGAAGCUGAAUACAUUCAGGCCUUCACUCAAGCCUGCUUCUUGAUUAUAUGUAUUAUAUGUGUUUUGUAGGCGUGUAUGCAUUGAACCUUCCAUAGCUCCAAGUCACUUACUCCAUGUUUCGCCGGGACAUUCACGCCCAACGGAGCUUUCAACCUUUUAAUUAAUUGACUGAGCCACAACUCUUUAAUAAGCACAGAAUGCAAUGUGUAUAACAUGAUUACAGUUGCGCCUGCAAUGAGAGAUUAUUAUGUGAUUAUGAUAACACCUGUAAUACAGACUUUAAUGUAAUGUCAGCAGCUUCAAUAACUGCUUCAAUGAAGUGAUUAUUAUAUGGUUUAAUGCAAUGAUCAUGACUUAAUGCAAAGUUAAUUAAUGCAAUCAUAAUGCUGAUAAUAAGUAUAAGUAGCAGUAAAA